rnacentral:rRNA from 1 species
GAUGAACGCUGGCGGCGUGCCUAAUACAUGCCAGUCGAGCGAACGGACGAGAAGCUUGCUCCUCUGAUGUUAGCGGCGGACGGGUGAGUAACACGUGGAUAACCUACCUAUAAGACUGGGAUAACUUCGGGAAACCGGAGCUAAUACCGGAUAAUAUUUUGAACCGCAUGGUUCAAAAGUGAAAGACGGUCUUGCUGUCACUUAUAGAUGGAUCCGCGCUGCAUUAGCUAGUUGGUAAGGUAACGGCUUACCAAGGCAACGAUGCGUAGCCGACCUGAGAGGGUGAUCGGCCACACUGGAACUGAGACACGGUCCAGACUCCUACGGGAGGCAGCAGUAGGGAAUCUUCCGCAAUGGGCGAAAGCCUGACGGAGCAACGCCGCGUGAGUGAUGAAGGUCUUCGGAUCGUAAAACUCUGUUAUUAGGGAAGAACAUAUGUGUAAGUAACUGUGCACAUCUUGACGGUACCUAAUCAGAAAGCCACGGCUAACUACGUG